rfam:Oryza rufipogon genomic scaffold, chr02
AAAAAGACAAACCCUAAGUUUCUGUGUCUAAUGUUUGACUGUCCGUCUUAUAUGAAAUUUUUUUAUGAUUAGUAUUUUCAUUGUUGUUAGAUGAUAAAACAUGAUUAAUACUUUAUGCGUGACUUACCUUUUUAUUUUUUUUUCAUAAUUUUUUCAAAUAAGACGGACGGCCAAAUGCUGGACACGGAAACUCAGGGUUUGCCUUUUU